AACGUAGGAGGCAAGCGUUAUCCGGAUUCAUUGGGCGUAAAGCGCGUGCAGGCGGUCUGACAAGUUGGAUGUGAAAGCUCCCGGCUCAACUGGGAGAGGUCGUUCAAAACUGUUAGACUAGAGAAUAGGAGAGGGAGGUGGAAUUCCGGGUGUAGUGGUGAAAUGCGUAGAUAUCCGGAGGAACACCAGUGGCGAAAGCGGCCUCCUGGACUAUUUCUGACGCUAAGACGCGAAAGCUAGGGUAGCAAACGGG
rnacentral:rRNA from 1 species